GAUAGGAAAGAUGCCCCAGGGCACGACUCCACCGCUAAGCCUUCAGUUUAUGCAAGAGAGCCUAAGGGGUUGCUUGUGCCUAGAAAGCAGUUGUGUCGGCAGACAGAAGCUGCUGCCACCGGAGUCAAGGGGAUGAGGGUCCACCCCCAUCCGGCAGCUGAACUUGGCAGUGCCACCCACAUGAUCCUGGGUUUGGAGACAAGAAAGAUGAAAGACUGAGAGGGGUCACAGUCAAGAGAUUGCCUUAAGUCUCAGAAGAGCCUGGAUUAUUGAACAGUGUUGAGACUGUUAAAGACUAUGGGGAUUGUUGAAGUUGGAUUAAAUGUAGUUUUCAUUGUGGUGGCCCAAAUGAGAAAUGUCUCCCAUAGGCUCGUAUAUUUGAACACCUGGUUGGCGGUGCUGUUUGGAGGCAGUUUUGGAAUCUUUCGGAGGUGCAGCCUUGUGAAAAAAGAUCUGCCUGGCCUUAAACUCUGGUUUCAGGUAUGGGCCUCUGGGUCUGUCGUCGGCAAGUGUCCUGGUGCUCUGCUCUCCUCGGCAGUGGACAGUUCCUGGAAUUCUGUCUUUGGUUAAGAAGAAAGAUGUCUUUGUCCUUACAGUGUUCGCUAUUGUCUGGGACUGACAUUCACAAGUUGCACUUGAAGGGCUUUCAGAGGGGCACAAGAGUAAGGCUGUGGAAGAGAGGAGUGAACUGGGUUUAAAUGCUUUUCCCUUUGAAUAUAGAAGAUUUUAGUUUUAAAAAUAAAAUAUCUUUAAGACUU